AUUGAACGCUAGCGGGAUGCCUUACACAUGCAAGUCGAACGGAGUGGCGAACGGGUGAGUAAUGUAUCGGAAAGUGCCCAGUAGCGGGGGAUAACUACGCGAAAGCGUAGCUAAUACCGCAUAAUAAUGGUGCGGCCGAUAUCGGAGUAGAUAGUGGGUGGGGUAACGGCUCACCAAGGCGGCAAUCCGUAGCUGGUUGGAGAGGACGACCAGCCAAACUGGGGCUGAGAACCGGCCCAAACUCCUACGGGAGGCAGCAGUGGGGAAUUUGGGACAAUGGGGGAAACCCUGAUCCAGCCAUCCCGCGUGUGCGAUGAAGGCCUUCGGGUUGUAAAGCACUUUUGGCAGGAAAGCGGUACCUGCAGAAUAAGCACCGGCUAACUACGUGCCAGCCGCCGCGGUAAUAC
rnacentral:rRNA from 1 species